UUUUCCCCUUCACCUAUGGAAAACAAAAGAAUAAUAGAAUCAUAGAAUGGUUUGGAUUGGAAAGGACCUUUAAAGAUCAUCCAGUCUCAACCCUCUGGGUGGGAACAUCUUUCAUUAGAUCAGGUUGCUCAAAGCCCCAUCCAACCUUUGAACACUUCCAAUGAUGGGGCAUCCACAACUUCUCUGGGCAACCUGUUCCAGUAUCUCACCAUCCUUAGAAUAAAGAAUUUCUUCCUUACACCUGAUCGAAAUCUACCCUCUUUUAGUUUAAAACCAUUAUCCUUUGUCCUAUCACUGCAGGUUGUGGUAAAAGCCUCAGGUCCUUCUCUUUCCUGUCCUGAGGGCUCCAGAGCUGGUCACACAAGAGCAGAGCAGAGGAGGAGAAUCACUUCCCUGGACCUGCUGGCCACGCUUCUUUGAUGCAACCCAGGAUGUGAUUGGCUUUCUGGGCUGCAAGCACACCUUGUCGGCUCAGAUUCAAUUUUUCAUCUGCUUCCUAGGAAUUAAAGCACUCUUUGGCACAUGGACUAGACCAGAAAAUACAGACAUAUUCCUCUCUUCUGGAGGGACUGGUGCAUCAGACAACUGGUAUGGAGACUGCUGAACUAACAAUAGUUAUAUCACAAAAAAGUGUCAUGGAAAAUCUAAGAUAUUGAGGCAGCUUGGAACAAUAAAGGACCAAGUGACCUGGAGACAGAAGUGAAGCCACCUAACUUCUGGAACUGCUACAAAUAAUGUACCUUCACUGUCUUCAGUUCUCCUCUUCUUCUUGGCCAGGACUACCUCCUUCCCACCAUGGCUAUAGUAACCACAGCUGAACUCUCUGACCCAAAUGAGCAUACCUAGAGCCAGGUAACCUUCAUUUAUUCUUCCCAGGGCUCUUGGUCCUUUUGCUGCUGGCUGUUCCCAGCCACCUUGGCCCUUUCUU